CUUCAAAAACAACUGUGUGAGCUAAAUGAGCACAGGAAUAGACCAUAAUUUCCUACUUCCGCAUUAAAUUCAGAGUAGCUGAAAAGAACUCUGUGAAAGUGAAGUGAUGUUGCCUGUGCUUAUAUAGAGUUCAGAUGUCCUGCAGCGAGUGUCUGUAUACGAUGAGGAGUUUUACACUUUCACAUUUCCAACUCCUGUAUCUUCUAAUAGCAGGUUUAUCAGAAUGCAAAGUGGCGACACAGAGACGCUGCAUGCAGGUUCAUCAGUUGAACAUAAACUGUGUUCAGGGUGACAGCAUGACUAUUUCUUGCCUGACCACAAUCCACCUGCUGGAGUCUCUGACAGUCAAACUACACAAGAAAAACCAAGAUAAAGACAUCCUGAUAAAUCCAGACAUCUCUCCAGCAUCAGAGCACCAGAGAUGGUCUGUGAGGAAAGAUGCUGGAAAUGUUACACUUGAUCUGAAAGACAUCAGAUUAUCUGAUGAUGGCUUUUAUGACUGUCAGGUCUACAAGGAUCAGGACUGCCUUCAUGCAACUACAUUUAACCUGAGGGUCAAAGAGUGUAAAACUUUGGACUCUGUCCAUCCAACACCAGGCUCUUCAGUGUUGCUGCCAUGCUCUGAACAUCCUCUACAAAACAGAACUGAACGAGUCACUUGGAAAGUCAUUACUGGUCAUCAAUCAACAGAUAUAUUUCAGUAUCGGCCACCAAACAAGCCCUCAAGCAGCACAGAGAAACCCCCAAAGUCUCUGUAUGAGAGAGUGAGAAAACUAGCAAACGGAUCUCUGCUUAUAAGAGAUGCAGUCCGCACUGAUGAAUUGUGGUAUCAGUGCAGAGUGAAUGAAAAAACCUGCUAUGAAGUGAAGCUGCUGCUGAAAGAUGAUCCAACCCCAGAGGACAGUACGGUUGUUCAGACUGAACACAACAACAAUUACGAGAGUGAAACAGCGAUAACUAAUUCAACAGUAGUGGUGAUGACCACAGUAGUGUCUCUGUGUGUCCUCAUAUCACUGACCAUCUGUGUCAUUGUGUAUUUCAAAAAACGAAGAUGCAAAAUCGACAGCCAAAUUGAUUUGAACUGUCAGUCUUCCGUGUAUUAUUCUGACAUUUCAGGAGUGUUGGAUGUGCCUUUGUAUUCUUUAGUUCAACGUAACACAUACCAUGGCCACAUCUGGUGUGAACAAACAGAAGCUCCUGCCUGUAAUCCAGACAACAUUUAUGACAACAGAAUGCUGUGAAAUAAAUGACUGUUUGGUUGUUGUUGUUUUUUUUUU
ensembl:lncRNA